rnacentral:sRNA from 1 species
UAGAGAUCCUGGCGCCGAGCGACAGGUGCCGGAACAAACAGGCGGUGAGAAAUCGCGGACGCGGAACCAUUUCUUGGGCAGGACUUCCGGCGGAAAAGCGGGCUGUCUCGGAAACUCAGAGCCGGGUUCCUCCCGGGUUUCUGCCGGGUUUCUCCCUGCGGUUCCUGGGCUGUUGAGACUCUUGUGAAGAUGGCUUGCGCUGCCGCGCGGUCCCCUGCCGACCAGGACAGGUUUAUUUGUAUCUAUCCUGCUUAUUUAAAUAAUAAGAAGACCAUCGCAGAGGGAAGGCGAAUCCCCAUAAGUAAGGCUGUUGAAAAUCCUACAGCUACAGAGAUUCAAGAUGUAUGUUCAGCAGUUGGACUUAACGUAUUUCUUGAGAGACUGGGUUUCACCAUGUUACUCAGGCUGGUCUCUAACACCUGAGCUCAAGCAAUCCACCCACCUUGACCUCUGGAAGUGCUGGGAUUACAGGUUAAGAAUGUCUGAGGGGCCAGGCGGUGCUGGCA